UAUUGAAAUUUGAAUUUGAAUUUUAGCGCGCAGUUUCACCGGUAGGUGUCCGAAGCAUCAUGGCGGUCGUAUCAGUGGGGUGUGAAAGUGUCGUAAAAAGUGGAAAAAUUUAUGGAAAUAGCAACGAAACAGCUCUGAUAUUUGGUAAGAUAAGGCCUUAGACCAUCACUACAAGUGAAAUAGGCAGCAACAAUACUGAAGAUUCUCCAACCACGUUGACAACUAUCUGGAUUUGGACUUUUAUUAUUUGUAGUUUGUUUCAUUAAUUGACAAUAAACUUCAUCGCGUAGUAGUUCAUAUUUGUGACAAUGCUGAAAUAAAAUU